GACGAACCGUGCGAACGUUGUUCGGAAUCACUGGGCUUAAAGGGCGCGUAGGCGGGCCUCCAAGUCCGGGGGGAAAUCCUCCCGCCCAACGGGAGAAGAGCCUCGGAGACUGGGGGCCUCGAGGGAGGUAGGGGCGAGCGGAACUGUGGGUGGAGCGGUGAAAUGCGUAGAGAUCCGGAGGAACCCCAGAGGCGAAGGCGGCGUCCUGGCUCACAACUGACGCUCAUACACGACAGCAUGGGGAGCGAACGGG
rnacentral:rRNA from 1 species